rnacentral:miRNA from 1 species
UCUUCACAGGUCCAGGCACAGA